CUCAACCACGACACUGGAAACAUUUCUCAGGGAUUCGGGUCACCCAAAACCGCUCUAUUUUCGACUCAGAUGCAGGGCUGGUGCGAGCCGCUGGAAUAAAACGAAGCCAGGUGUGGUUUGUGGAACCAGCUUGAGACGAUGCAUGCUCUGUGACAUGGUCCGUUGUUCUGCUGGAAGUAUUCAUUUCAAAACGGGAUGACUGUGUCCAUAAAGUGAUGCACGUGUGCCAAGAAAACCUUCCGCAAUACCUGCCUGCACCUUUGACACAAGGCACAGUGUUCAACCAUCCUGUUGGGGUGAUCAUGUGCCCACUGUAGCCUCUCUCUUCUUAGCUGACAGUCAACACUCAUCUUUGCUUUUGCUGCCACUAGAUGUAUAUGUAACUGAUUGUGUGUGGCCAGGUUUCUGAAGGCUUCUAUGUGGCAAAAAGAGAAGAAGACAGAGGUGGAGAGAUGCAGGGAACUGCAGAACCUCCAACAGCACCUGUUCAACAUGCACAAGAGGGCUGAGGGCGUGGAGAAGGUGGUGAGAGAGAAGCUGAUGAAAGACAGAGUCAAGGCAUGGGCCAAUAACAAAGGCCUCCCCCUCCUCUGGCCUGAACCUAGGGCAGGGUGGAACCAGGCUCUCGCCUUUGGCAUCUCCCCAGACCAGAGGCCUCACAGAACCAAGGUCCGCGUCAGGCAAGCCUGGAACAUCUCCCCUAACCCCCACAAGCCCCCGUUGGCCUCUGUCUACCGACCCCAGGAAGUGCGUCUGAGCUGCCUGCCAGAAACACCUCCGUCAGAGCCUGACCUGAGGCAGAGCGUCACCCUCUCCAGGGCCCGUGUGGACGGACCGCCCCAGUAUACUGCCAAGUGGGACGGCUCCCCCCAGCCACUCCCCAACCUGCCCUGGGACAAGCUUCAAAGGGGGCUGUUCCCUGCCUCCUUCCAAACGCGGAUAGCCUCACCCAGCCACUUCCAUCCCAGCCACAUGCUGGACCUGCCGCGCCUCAGCUGCUCCGCAGGACCCAACGCCUCGCCCUGGACCGAGGUGGCCAUGCACCUGGCUGAGGAGCUGGAGCCUGGUCACUACUGAGGAGACGGCGAGGAGGCAGGACCAG
rnacentral:lncRNA from 1 species